AAGUCGUAACAAGGUAAUCGUAGGUGAACCUGCGAUUGGAUCAUUCAUGUAGAGAGAUGAGGGGGGGUUAUUUCUUUUUGUGUUGUCAGGGGGGAGAAGAUGAGUGUGACGUAAGUGGGCUAAGCGAGAGUUUAGAACAACCGUCACCUUAAGUAGAUAAGCAAAAGAGAUUUACACGUUCUGAUAUAUAGCUCUGUCCCUCAUCAACAUACUGGUGAACGACGACAUAGCAAAUAAGAAAAUUACACAACUGUUGACAACGGAUCACUCGGUUCUCGU
rnacentral:misc_RNA from 1 species